rnacentral:rRNA from 1 species
CCCGCUGAACUUAAGCAUAUCAAUAAGCGGAGGAAAAGAAACCAACAGGGAUUGCCCCAGUAACGGCGAGUGAAGCGGCAACAGCUCAAAUUUGAAAUCUGGUCCCCAGGGCCCGAGUUGUAAUUUGUAGAGGAUGCUUUUGGCAAGGUGCCUUCCGAGUUCCCUGGAACGGGACGCCAUAGAGGGUGAGAGCCCCGUCUGGUCGGACACCGAGCCUCUGUAAAGCUCCUUCGACGAGUCGAGUAGUUUGGGAAUGCUGCUCAAAAUGGGAGGUAUAUGUCUUCUAAAGCUAAAUAUAGGCCAGAGACCGAUAGCGCACAAGUAGAGUGAUCGAAAGAUGAAAAGCACUUUGAAAAGAGGGUUAAAAAGUACGUGAAAUUGUUGAAAGGGAAGCGCCUAUGACCAGACUUGAGCCCGGUGAAUCAUCCAGCGUUCUCGCUGGUGCACUUUGCCGGGCACAGGCCAGCAUCAGUUUGGCGCGGGGGAUAAAGGCUUUGGGAAUGUGGCUCCCUCGGGAGUGUUAUAGCCCAUUGCGCAAUACCCUGCGCCGGACUGAGGUACGCGCAUUCGCAAGGAUGCUGGCGUAAUGGUCAUCAGCGACCCGUCUUGAAACACGG